UACGAAGGGGGCGAGCGUUGUUCGGAUUUACUGGGCGUAAAGGGCGCGCAGGCGGCUAUUUUUGUCAGGCGUGAAAGCCCCGGGCUUAACCUGGGAACAGCGCUUGAGACGGGAUGGCUAGAGAUCGGGAGAGGAGAGUGGAAUUCCCAGUGUAGAGGUGAAAUGCGUAGAUAUUGGGAAGAACACCGGUGGCGAAGGCGACUCACUGGCCAGUUUCUGACGCUGCAGCGCGAAAGCGUGGGGAUCAAACAGG
rnacentral:rRNA from 1 species